rnacentral:rRNA from 1 species
UGCAGUCGAACGAUGAAGCUUCUAGCUUGCUAGAAGUGGAUUAGUGGCGCACGGGUGAGUAAGGUAUAGUUAAUCUGCCCUACACAAGAGGACAACAGUUGGAAACGACUGCUAAUACUCUAUACUCCUGCUUAACACAAGUUGAGCAGGGAAAGUUUUUCGGUGUAGGAUGAGACUAUAUAGUAUCAGCUAGUUGGUAAGGUAAUGGCUUACCAAGGCUAUGACGCUUAACUGGUCUGAGAGGAUGAUCAGUCACACUGGAACUGAGACACGGUCCAGACUCCUACGGGAGGCAGCAGUAGGGAAUAUUGCGCAAUGGGGGAAACCCUGACGCAGCAACGCCGCGUGGAGGAUGACACUUUUCGGAGCGUAAACUCCUUUUCUUAGGGAAGAAUUCUGACGGUACCUAAGGAAUAAGCACCGGCUAACUCCGUGCCAGCAGCCGCGGUAAUACGGAGGGUGCAAGCGUUACUCGGAAUCACUGGGCGUAAAGGGCGCGUANGCGGAUUAUCAAGUCUCUUGUGAAAUCUAAUGGCUUAACCAUUAAACUGCUUGGGAAACUGAUAGUCUAGAGUGAGGGAGAGGCAGAUGGAAUUGGUGGUGUAGGGGUAAAAUCCGUAGAUAUCACCAAGAAUACCCAUUGCGAAGGCGAUCUGCUGGAACUCAACUGACGCUAANGCGCGAAAGCGUNNNNNNCAAACAGGAUUAGAUACCCUGGUAGUCCACGCCCUAAACGAUGUACACUANUUGUUGGGAUGCUNNUCAUCUCANUAAUGCAGCUAACNCAUUA